GGCUAACUAGCAGGCAGGUAGCGAUCCGGCCCGCAUCCUCCACACCCUUUGUGUACCUACCUCUGUUGCUUUGGCGGGCCGCGGUCCUCCGCGGCCGCCCCCCUCCCCGGGGGGGUGGCCAGCGCCCGCCAGAGGACCAUCAAACUCCAGUCAGUAAACGAUGCAGUCUGAAAAACAUUUAAUAAACUAAAACUUUCAACAACGGAUCUCUUGGUUCUGGCAUCGAUGAAGAACGCAGCGAAAUGCGAUAAGUAAUGUGAAUUGCAGAAUUCAGUGAAUCAUCGAAUCUUUGAACGCACAUUGCGCCCUUUGGUAUUCCGAAGGGCAUGCCUGUUCGAGCGUCAUUACAACCCUCAAGCUCUGCUUGGUAUUGGGCACCGUCCUUUGCGGGCGCGCCUCAAAGACCUCGGCGGUGGCGUCUUGCCUCAAGCGUAGUAGAACAUACAUCUCGCUUCGGAGCGCAGGGCGUCGCCCGCCGGACGAACCUUCUGAACUUUUCUCAAGGUUGACCUCGGAUCAGGUAGGGAUACCCGCUGAACUUAAGCAUAUCAAUAAGUCGGAGGAAU
rnacentral:rRNA from 1 species